rnacentral:rRNA from 1 species
UGGGGAAUAUUGGACAAUGGGCGAAAGCCUGAUCCAGCAAUUCCGCGUGGGUGAAGAAGGUCUUCGGAUUGUAAAGCCCUUUCGACGGGGACGAUGAUGACGGUACCCGUAGAAGAAGCCCCGGCUAACUUCGUGCCAGCAGCCGCGGUAAUACGAAGGGGGCUAGCGUUGCUCGGAAUUACUGGGCGUAAAGGGCGCGUAGGCGGCGCUGUUAGUCAGGCGUGAAAUUCCUGGGCUCAACCUGGGGACUGCGCUUGAUACGGCAGUGCUUGAGGAUGGAAGAGGCUCGCGGAAUUCCCAGUGUAGAGGUGAAAUUCGUAGAUAUUGGGAAGAACACCGGUGGCGAAGGCGGCGAGCUGGUCCAUUACUGACGCUGAGGCGCGACAGCGUGGGGAGCAAACAGG